rnacentral:rRNA from 1 species
CGGGUGGUAAUGCCGGAUGCUCCAUCACACCGCAUGGUGUGUUGGGAAAGCCUUUGCGGCAUGGGAUGGGGUCGCGUCCUAUCAGCUUGAUGGCGGGGUAACGGCCCACCAUGGCUUCGACGGGUAGCCGGCCUGAGAGGGCGACCGGCCACAUUGGGACUGAGAUACGGCCCAGACUCCUACGGGAGGCAGCAGUGGGGAAUAUUGCACAAUGGGCGCAAGCCUGAUGCAGCGACGCCGCGUGAGGGAUGGAGGCCUUCGGGUUGUAAACCUCUUUUGUUAGGGAGCAAGGCAUUUUGUGUUGAGUGUACCUUUCGAAUAAGCACCGGCUAACUACGUGCCAGCAGCCGCGGUAAUACGUAGGGUGCAAGCGUUAUCCGGAAUUAUUGGGCGUAAAGGGCUCGUAGGCGGUUCGUCGCGUCCGGUGUGAAAGUCCAUCGCUUAACGGUGGAUUCGCGCCGGGUACGGGCGGGCUUGAGUGCGGUAGGGGAGACUGGAAUUCCCGGUGUAACGGUGGAAUGUGUAGAUA